GAUGAACGCUGGCGGCGUGCCUAAUACAUGCAAGUCGAGCGAACAGGCGAGGAGCUUGCUCCUCUGACGUUAGCGGCGGACGGGUGUGUAACACGUGGAUAACCUACCUAUAAGACUGGGAUAACUUCGGGAAACCGGAGCUAAUACCGGAUAAUAUAUUGAACCGCAUGGUUCAAUAGUGAAAGACGGUUUUGCUGUCACUUAUAGAUGGAUCCGCGCCGCAUUAGCUAGUUGGUAAGGUAACAGCUUACCAAGGCAACGAUGCGUAGCCGACCUGAGAGGGUGAUCGGCCACACUGGAACUGAGACACGGUCCAGACUCCUACGGGAGGCAGCAGUAGGGAAUCUUCCGCAAUGGGCGAAAGCCUGACGGAGCAACGCCGCGUGAGUGAUGAAGGUCUUCGGAUCGUAAAACUCUGUUAUUAGGGAAGAACAAAUGUGUAAGUAACUAUGCACGUCUUGACGGUACCUAAUCAGAAAGCCACGGCUAACUACGUG
rnacentral:rRNA from 1 species